ACCCCCAGCCAUGUUCUUAAAAUAGCUCACAAAGCCCUACAUUAUCUUGCCUGCUAUGACUCUCUGCCAUCAUCUUUUCUACUCUCCAUCUUGCUCACUUUAUUCCAGUCACAUUGGCCUCCUCUCUGUUCCUCAGACUGCCAGGCAGCUUCUGCCUCAAGGCCUUUGCAAUAGCUAUUCUCUCUUCCUGAAACAUUCUACCUCCAGAUAUCCAUGUGACACAGUGUCUCACUUCAAGUGUUUGCCUACAUGUCACCUUUUGUAGCAGAUGCGAUCAUGCCUUGACCACAAUCCCUUACAUUUGCCAUGUCUGCUAAAGGUUUCCUACUGAAAGCAUCUACAAUUUUCUAUAAGAAGGUUUUCUAAACAUGAGUGCUCACUUGCUUCAGGGUAGGCCCAAAUAUCAGGAAGUUAACACCGUUAGGAGCACCCUUCAACUACUAACCCUUGCUUAGGAGUCAAUGGAGGAGUCCCCCUACCUCCUAUCCCCUUGGGUGGGCCAACUCUGAGGCAUUUCUCCAGUAUUUCCCAGGACUUUACAGUAUAAAUCCAAACUCACACACAAAUAGAGCCAAAGGGAAAAAAAUAGUUGAUAUAUUGUUAGUAGGAUUGUCAAGGAAAUAACAUCUUAAAAUACUUAAAAAUAGUCAUUUUAAAAUGUUAAAUAUCAUUAAUAAUAUAUUUCAUAAUCAUACAAUGAAAAGGAUAAGGUUGACAGAGUAUGGCACCCAAGGUUUCUUUCUAAAGGUCUGAUGUUCAAGGUGACAUGAAUUCUGGAGAGAUUUCCCUCUGUUCUACUAUCUAAAACUCUCGAGAUAUUAAGGUGGGACAUGAAUUCUGGAGAGCCCCUCUCUGUUCCACUGUCUUUAAUCUAAAGGGCUCAGAUAACUCUGUUGCUAUUUCUUCCAUCAUCAAAUGGAGGUUCCAACCCACCAGCUGGACCUAGAGAGUAUUACUGUGAACUUGACUUGUAGUCAUUGUACCAUAAUUUUCUGAAGCAUUACAAAAUUGGGGUAGAGCAUGGGCUUUGGGACAAAGACAUUGGAGUUUAGAUAGGGACUCUAUAUCUUACAUGGGACCUUGGGUGAGUUGUCCAAAUUCUCUGCCUAAUUUCUGGUAAAAAAAUCAUGGGGCUGGGCAAUGGUGGUGCACACCUGGGAUCCUAGCAGCUUGGGGGCGCUGGGGUUGUGGCUCAGUGGUAGAGCGCUU
rnacentral:lncRNA from 1 species